rnacentral:lncRNA from 1 species
AAAAAAGAAAAUACCACUGAACACCAUGUGGAUUGCCAACUGCAUGGAUACAGUGGGAGAUGCCAACAUCAGUUCUGGGAGGUCCUUUGUGUUGGGCUGGCCCACGGUAAACUUUGUGGCCACCUUCAGUUCUUCAGAACAAAAGGAAAAAUGGCGUUCUUACCUUCAAAGUCCGUAA